UAUAAUUUUAUUUUUUAAUAAGUCAAUAAAUGAAAAUAUUUUGAUUCUUCUAAUUAAAAAAAUGAUAAAAAUAUUUAAAAGUCAUUCUGGAAGCUUAGCAGGAACCAUGAGGCGUGAGUCGCAGUGCCUUCAGGAAAUUCCUCCUUCGCUCUCUCACUCUCGCUAUCUUGUUUUGGUUAUCUCUGCUGCGAAAGGACGAAUUUGAAUGGCUUUAGCGAUCAGUCUCCCUAAUAACCUGCUUCUGUGCAAAGCCUCGCGUCGCAAAUUUCCGGUAAAGUCGUACUCUCAGAUUCAGACCAAGAAGCGAUGCUUGCGAUGUAAUACUCUUUACUCCGAUCAAGACAAUUCCCCGAUUGCUUGCUCUUUCCAUGGCCACGCCAACGGUCAUAUUGGGCUUGUCUUCAGCAGAAGCCCAGCCAAACUAGCCCAUGCAGAUGCCUAAAGUUGUGUUGGUGUUGCAUUGCAGGAGACAAAGGGUUGUUCUCAUUUUCGCCACCACACCAAGGGAUAGAUGGGGAGUGGACAGACGAAUCAGGAGUGAUUGUGUACAAAUGGAACGACAGAGACAACAGAACCAACACUGGUCGCUCCAAUUGGAAGAGACGAUGGAGCUGUUGUGCUGAGUACGAUGAGAAUGCCCCUCCUUGUAGACGAGCCUCCCAUGUUUCAUAUGACGAUGGUUUCACUUUGUACUAGUUCUCUCUAAUCUCUCUGUCUCU